AGCGAACGCUGGCGGCAGGCCUAACACAUGCAAGUCGAACGGAACCUUCGGGUUCAGUGGCGGACGGGUGAGUAACACGUGGGAACGUGCCCUAUGGUUCGGAAUAACUCAGGGAAACUUGAGCUAAUACCGGAUAAGCCCUACGGGGGAAAGAUUUAUCGCCAUUGGAGCGGCCCGCGUCUGAUUAGCUAGUUGGUGAGGUAAAGGCUCACCAAGGCUACGAUCAGUAGCUGGUCUGAGAGGAUGAUCAGCCACAUUGGGACUGAGACACGGCCCAAACUCCUACGGGAGGCAGCAGUGGGGAAUCUUGCGCAAUGGGCGAAAGCCUGACGCAGCCAUGCCGCGUGAAUGAUGAAGGUCUUAGGAUUGUAAAAUUCUUUCACCGGGGACGAUAAUGACGGUACCCGGAGAAGAAGCCCCGGCUAACUUCGUGCCAGCAGCCGCAGUAAC
rnacentral:rRNA from 1 species